AAAUAUUUUUUAUUUUCUGUUGAGACGAUUAAAAGCAUAUUUCAAUUAAUAUAUUACGAUAUAUAUAUGUAGUAUAAUAUUAUUUUAAAAAUAAGUAAGCUAUUUCUUAUAGUAACUUUAUGGAAUAAUAACCGACCGUCCCUAAAGCAAGUGGCAAAGAACUUGAUGGUUGGUACCGGAGAUCCAAGUUUGAAUCCUAGUUGAUUCAUAUUUUCAGCUAAGUUUAUUUCUAAAUGAAAUAAAAAUGAAGCGAGUAGCGUGCUACCUAUCUCUCAAAAAAAAAACUUUAUGGAAUAAUAAUGUCAUCGCAAUUCUCGACCGUUGUUAUUUUUAAAUCAAAUAUCAAAUUUAAAUUUAUUAUUUGCAAGUAAAAAAAAUUUUUUGUUAAACAAUUUUAUAAAAUUGCUUUAGAAAAUUUA
rnacentral:lncRNA from 1 species